GAUGAACGCUGGCGGCGUGCCUAAUACAUGCAAGUCGAGCGAAUGGAUUAAGAGCUUGCUUUUAUGAAGUUAGCGGCGGACGGGUGAGUAACACGUGGGUAACCUGCCCAUAAGACUGGGAUAACUCCGGGAAACCGGGGCUAAUACCGGAUAACAUUUUGAACCGCAUGGUUCGAAAUUGAAAGGCGGCUUCGGCUGUCACUUAUGGAUGGACCCGCGUCGCAUUAGCUAGUUGGUGAGGUAACGGCUCACCAAGGCAACGAUGCGUAGCCGACCUGAGAGGGCGAUCGGCCACACUGGGACUGAGACACGGCCCAGACUCCUACGGGAGGCAGCAGUAGGGAAUCUUCCGCAAUGGACGAAAGUCUGACGGAGCAACGCCGCGUGAGUGAUGAAGGCUUUCGGGUCGUAAAACUCUGUUGUCAGGGAAGAACAAGUGCUAGUUGAAUAAGCUGGCACCUUGACGGUACCUAACCAGAAAGCCACGGCUAACUACGUGCCAGCAGCCGCAGUAA
rnacentral:rRNA from 1 species